GGGGAAUAUUGGACAAUGGGCGCAAGCCUGAUCCAGCCAUGCCGCGUGAGUGAUGAAGGCCUUAGGGUUGUAAAGCUCUUUCACCGGUGAAGAUAAUGACGGUAGCCGGAGAAGAAGCCCCGGCUAACUUCGUGCCAGCAGCCGCGGUAAUACGAAGGGGGCUAGCGUUGUUCGGAAUUACUGGGCGUAAAGCGCACGUAGGCGGAUUGGUCAGUUAGGGGUGAAAUCCCAGGGCUCAACCCUGGAACUGCCUUUAAUACUGCCAGUCUUGAGUUCGAGAGAGGUGAGUGGAAUUCCGAGUGUAGAGGUGAAAUUCGUAGAUAUUCGGAGGAACACCAGUGGCGAAGGCGGCUCACUGGCUCGAGACUGACGCUGAGGUGCGAAAGCGUGGGGAGCAAAC
rnacentral:rRNA from 1 species